CACUUAUAAUGCAAUAAAAAAAGUUCGGUAAUUAAUUAAUAAUAUUUAUGAAUAAAUUUUUAAUUUUAUUAAGUGAAAUUUCUAAAAUUGGAUUUUAUUUUUAUUAUUUUUAUGAGGUUAAUAAGUUUGGGUCUUAAACUAGGAUUAGAUACCCUAUUAUUCUAAAUUUAAUGUUUGUUACUUGGUUAGUAGUAGUUAUGAUCUUGAAAAUUAAAGAAGUUGGCGGUAUUUUAGUCUAUUCAGAGGAACCUGUCCUAUUAUCGAUGAUCCACGUUUUUUUGUACUUAUUUUAUUAGUUUGCAUAUCGCCGUAGAUUGAAUAUUUUUAAAAAAUUUUUAAUGUUCAAUAAUUUUUAUGAGAAAAGAAUUCAGGUCAAGAUGUAGCUUAUAAAUAAGAAGAGAUGGGUUACAAUAAGUUUACUUAAACGAAUUGGUAGAUGAAAUUUUAUUAUAAAGAUGGAUUUGAAGGUAAUUAUAUUUAAAUUUAUAUAAUGAUUUUAGCUCUAAAAUAUGUACAUA
rnacentral:rRNA from 1 species